UACGUAGGGACCAAGCGUUGUUCGGAUUUACUGGGCGUAAAGGGCGCGUAGGCGGCAAUUCAAGUCAUCUGUGAAAUCUCCGGGCUUAACCCGGAACGGUCAGGUGAUACUGUUUUGCUAGAGUGCGGAAGGGGCAAUCGGAAUUCUCGGUGUAGCGGUGAAAUGCGUAGAUAUCGAGAGGAACACCAGAGGUGAAGACGGGUUGCUGGGCUGACACUGACGCUGACAGCGCGAAGGCCAGGGGAGCAAACGGG
rnacentral:rRNA from 1 species